ACCCACCUUUGACAUGUACGGAAGUUACCAGAGAUGGUUUCGUGCUCGAAAGAGAACCGUAACACAGGUGCUGCAUGGCUGUCGUCAGCUCGUGUCGUGAGAUGUUGGGUUAAGUCCCGCAACGAGCGCAACCCUUGUCAUUAGUUGCUACGAAAGGGCACUCUAAUGAGACUGCCGGUGAUAAACCGGAGGAAGGUGGGGAUGACGUCAAGUCCUCAUGGCCCUUAUAGGUGGGGCUACACACGUCAUACAAUGGCUGGUACAGAGGGUUGCCAACCCGCGAGGGGGAGCUAAUCCCAUAAAACCAGUCGUAGUCCGGAUCGCAGUCUGCAACUCGACUGCGUGAAGUCGGAAUCGCUAGUAAUCGCGGAUCAGAAUGUCGCGGUGAAUACGUUCCCGGGUCUUGUACACACCGCCCGUCACA
rnacentral:rRNA from 1 species